CGAUCUUUUUUUUUCUAGCUCUGGGCGUGCAUGCGUCGUAAAGUCAUGUGUGUUGCUCACAACCUUCAAACAUAAAUUCAAGAGACUGCGGAGUAGUCUAUUGUUUCUGAUGCGCAGUGCACAUAUAAAGGUUACGCUGGCGGUCAACAGUGGUUGUCGUCCACGAGGCGUAUAUGCAUGUUACAGGGAAUUGGCUACGAAUGCAACGGGUCCGACGCCAGCGCGACAACGAACGUGCAACUCUGGCGAGUGCGCUCCCAUCGAUAUGUGGCCACAAUGCUCAGGAUCGAACCGGCAACCUCGGUCUCAACAGCACAGCGCCUUAGGCUACAGCGCAGCACCGGGUUCGUCGCUUUCCGAACCAGCGACACGCAACAAGAACAGUUCACGACAAAAAAAGGUGGGUACGUUACGUCACAAUGGGCUGACCCGGCAACCAGACAUCACCGUGAUGUUCAAGCUGAAGUCAGCACUCAAGGUCAAAGCAGUCUGCAAACGUGAAUAAAGAGCCGUUCGCAUCUU